ensembl:misc_RNA Y_RNA Y RNA
GGCUGGUCUGAUGGCAGUGAGUUAUCAGAACUUAUUAACAUUAGUGUCACUAAAGUUGGUAUACCACCCCCCCCCACUGCUAAAUUUGACUGGCUUUAA